GUCUACAGCCAUACUACCCUGAACGCGCCUUAUCUCGUCUGAUCUCGGAAGCUAAGCAGGGUCAGGCCUGGUUAGUACUUGGAUGGGAGACCAGAGGUUUGCAUGGGGGGGGAGCAC